AUCUAUUUGACAGACCUGGAGCAGUUAUUGUCUGCUUCUCAGAUUUCCUCUACAGACGAGAAAAGCAUCCUCAUGUUUUCUGUCUGUCUGAUAGUGGCAGCCUAGAUUGAAUAGGGAAAUGU